rnacentral:misc_RNA from 1 species
CUGAGUACUACACUCUCUACCCCUUUGUGAACUAUUAUACCUGUUGCUAUUUCGGGCGGCGGCCCGCAAGGGUGCCCGGCCGGUCUCAUCAGAAUCUCUGUUUUCGAACCCGACGACUACUUCUGAGUGUUCUUAGCGAACUGUCA